AAAAGACAACAGUUGUUUAUAGACUCUCUGUGGUACUUGACUGAUUCUGUUGCUUCUCUAACUCUAUAUAUUACAGUAUAUAUAGACUUUUAUGGAUGGUUAAUCAGAGUAAAGUACUGAACCAAAGUGUUGUUUUAUUCAUAAUGAAAAUUAUAUCACCACUGUUUCUCAGACUUCUUUAGACUCCUUUCAUAAACUCAAACUGUUUGCAGACUCCAACCACCAGAGGCAGGAAAUAACCUAACAGCAUGUAUACUCAUGGAAUAAAGUCUCUUACUUCAAUUUAACCAACACAGUAAGACUGAUGUUCUUCUGAAAUGUGACUGUUUUCACUUUGUUCAUGAUUCAUUUUCUGAAUACAGUAGACCUUAAAGACAGUAACCGAGAAAACAAUAAUAAAUUGCUAAGCUUAAAGUAAUUUUAUCUUUCAAUUUUUGCAGGAAACAUCGUUUCAAGUGGUUUUAAUUUCAGGCGGUAAUUUUUCAUUUCUUCUGAUGAAUUAUGGUGACAUUGCUGUAACAGGACAUCCAGUGCAGGUGAAAGAAACUUGUUUUCUGUAUUGAGAACAAAAUGUUGCUAUUCACUACUGUAUAAAAGUUCAUGUUCUCUAAUAUAUAUAAUGUUUAUAUGAAUAAUGUUUUUGCACACUUUCAGGCUGGUUAUGACACAGUAAACUCCACACACUACUUUGUGAUUCCCGAAUCAGUCAAUGGCAGCUUCAUCUCAAACCUCAAGAACUCCAGUAAUGUCAAUGUUCUCGGUCGAUGGGUCUUCAGGGUGGACGGUGAACCAAGAAACAGCAUCUUGAACAACAAUGUUGUUGGAUUUCGAGUGAGACUUUCCUCAUUUUUAGACCUGACACGUAAUGGCAGCACUGAAAUAGUUUUGGAGCAAGUAUGUCACUCUUACUACGAAUAUUUAAACAGAAUACGGUUCAAAUAGACCACAUGGGCAAAUUUGUUCUGUUUGUCCAUCUGUGUUUCAGAUCAAGCAGGAGCUGGUCAAGUACGGUCUGCCAAACAACAUCGAACUGAAGUUAAGAAAACUGCAAAAGAUAAAGCCAUAAUUUCCUUCUCCUUCAGGAAGAGAAGUAAAACCAGUUUGUUUAGCAUUUGACAACAAAUAUCCCUGAUGACUGAUGAUGUAAAAGUUUCAGUUUUUCAUUAAGGUGAUUUACAAAGGAUUCAAACCAGCAUAAAAUUAUCAUAGAAGAGGUCCAUUAGAUCCUCCUUUUUUCCUUUUUUCUUUUUUCUUUGCAUAUCAAUCAUGUUGUGUGUAUCAGUUUAAACUUUACUGUAAGUAAAACACUUUUGUCUCAUUCACCUUCAUUAGAACCAUAACUUACAUAGGGUACAACUUAACUUAGGGUACAAUACUUAAACUGCAUAAUGUACAGUACAGUAUCAUUUGAAUGCAGUGUACAUCGCUUUGAAUUAAAGAAUCUGCCAAAUGCAUAAAUGUCAAAUUCUAUCUCACUUUUAACAUGGGCAUCUAAAUUUGUGGCUUAUCAAAAAAAAAUUUAAAAAAUGUUUAGUUUUUGUGUGUUCUGUUGACCUGUUCCCCUGUGACCUAGUUUUCCUUCAUUUCCUGAUUACCAUUCUGUUCACCUGUGUAUGAUUAUUUUACUCGUCAGCUCCUUAGUUUACUCCACUACUUAAACCCUCAGUUCUCUCUUAGCCUUUGUCCAUUCUUAUCUAUGUUAAGUUGGUACUUGUACUCUUUGUAUUUGGAUUUACUUAAUUAAAAGAAUUUUCUGUCAUCUCCAUCGUGAUCACUCCAUCUGCUUCACCA
ensembl:lncRNA